GUGCAGAUGAUGGAAACAUUUUUGAACUGAGCAAGGUGAUGCUUUCAAAGGAACCACUGAUGCAC